rnacentral:rRNA from 1 species
UACGGAGGAUGCAAGCGUUAUCCGGAAUGAUUGGGCGUAAAGCGUCCGCAGGUGGCUUUGUAAGUCUGCUGUUAAAGAGUGAGGCUCAACCUCAUAAGAGCAGUGGAAACUACAAGGCUAGAGUACGUUCGGGGCAGAGGGAAUUCCUGGUGUAGCGGUGAAAUGCGUAGAGAUCAGGAAGAACACCGGUGGCGAAAGCGCUCUGCUAGGCCGUAACUGACACUGAGGGACGAAAGCUAGGGGAGCGAACAGG